rnacentral:pre_miRNA from 2 species
GAUUUCAACUGAAAAAGUCAUCAAUAACAAAGUUGUAUAAAUCAUCAAGAUCUAUAACUUUUAUUUUGGUCAUUUCUUCAUCGGACAAAGUAAUUUGUAAGAUUGUUCACAAAAUGUACAUAUCUUUUAUAUAGUUUAUAAAACUAUAAGAGUGAUGUACAUUUUGUGAACAAUCUUAUAAAUAACUUUGUCGGAUGAAGAAAUGACUAAAAUAGAAGUUAUAGAUCUUGAUGAGUUAUACAACUUUGUUGUUGAUGACUUUUUCAGCUGAAAUC